rnacentral:piRNA from 1 species
UAUGUGUUUAUGUUCUGAAUAUUGUUGC